rnacentral:rRNA from 1 species
AGACCCGAAACCCGGUGAUCUAGCCAUGGGCAGGUUGAAGGUUGGGUAACACUAACUGGAGGACCGAACCGACUAAUGUUGAAAAAUUAGCGGAUGACCUGUGGCUGGGGGUGAAAGGCCAAUCAAACCGGGAGAUAGCUGGUUCUCCCCGAAAGCUAUUUAGGUAGCGCCUCGUGAAUUCAUCUCCGGGGGUAGAGCACUGUUUCGGCUAGGGGGCCAUCCCGGCUUACCAACCCGAUGCAAACUGCGAAUACCGGAGAAUGUUAUCACGGGAGACACACGGCGGGUGCUAACGUCCGUCGUGAAGAGGGAAACAACCCAGACCGCCAGCUAAGGUCCCAAAGUCAUGGUUAAGUGGGAAACGAUGUGGGAAGGCCCAGACAGCCAGGAUGUUGGCUUAGAAGCAGCCAUCAUUUAAAGAAAGCGUAAUAGCUCACUGGUCGAGUCGGCCUGCGCGGAAGAUGUAACGGGGCUAAACCAUGCACCGAAGCUGCGGCAGCGACACUGUGUGUUGUUGGGUAGGGGAGCGUUCUGUAAGCCUGUGAAGGUGGCCUGUGAGGGUUGCUGGAGGUAUCAGAAGUGCGAAUGCUGACAUAAGUAACGAUAAAGCGGGUGAAAAGC